ACAAGGUUGGCGGCAGUUAUAGUAAAGGGGAAAGGGGGGAUAUUACCAAAAAUUCAUAAAGGAGUUCACACAUAGAGUCAUGAGUAAUAAUUAGUGCCAUUGGGGUAGCGUUUAGGAAAAGUAUAAAUAUUAAAUACAAGUACUAUAUUUAGAUAAAGCAGAUUUUACAAAAUAGUCUGCAAGUUCAUUAAUAGAUGGCAUAUUCAUACUGAAAAUUGGUUAGAUAAUAAAUUUCUUAGAGAACUUGUAUGAAAAUAGCAAGCAUGCCGAUUAGUUUAUAAAUUGAAGCGAAGUGAAUCUUUUAAUAUUAUUAUUUAUAAUAGUAAUAAGUACAAUAAUAUAUUUAAUCAACAUCUGAGUGAGAAAUUGUACGAUAGUGCUAUUAUUAUAAAAAAAUUAUCUUGUAACUAAUUAUAAUAAGAAAGUUUAGUACAGUUUUGAUCUCCUCAUAUCUCGAUACAUCAACAAAUGUCAACCAAAUAAAGAGUUUCAAUCUGCAUACCAACAAAAUUAUUAUUCGGUUACAAUAAAAAAAUUUACUACUUCAAACAUUCGGAGAUUUUUCAAGAUUAAUUAAUAAUUAAUUAAUUGACAAUUUUGAACUAUGAAAAGAUGGAAGAAAUAUUCCCACGAUUGCUAAUGUAUUCAAUUUUUUGGUUAUCUGGAAUGGACUAAUAAUGUAAAAAACAUGCUGAAUUUGAUACUAAUCCAAAAUAAUAUAAAGGCUUAUAUCAUAUAUGCAACCCGGCGAGAUAGGAAAUUUUUUCUGGGUCUGACUGUUUACAUUCGAAACAAGUGGUGGGGGUAAGAGGAUCAUGCGUUGAAGAGAACGAAUAUUAGUCCUACUCAUUUAGCUGUAUCAGGCUGUAUACUUCAGUACCUAUAGUACACGUGUUGUUCAGACAUUGUUUUUUUUUUGUUUAAUAUUGAUAACCCUUUAUUUGGUUAUUCCACUACAUUGAUUGUUAUGACCUAUUUUUUAUAUUUAAUAAUUGUUAAAAAAAAACUUUUCUCGAAAAUAUAUUUUUUCUUUGAGAACCGUUACUAUAACCUUAAUUUCAAGUGAAGCACAAUAUAAAAUAUAUUCUUCGGAUAACUUAAUAACCAACGGUUUACAAUCAUCCCCCAACAUGCGCCGGGGACCAUACUAACGAUAUCUCGAUCGUUACGGCAAAUGUGUAAUGCCUCGUUCAACUUACUAUCACAAAAUGAAACAGCUUAUUAUUACUCAGGAGAACCAAGAGAUUAAAAAUUCAGCGGUCGAAGAUGUUGGAAAUUGCUAUAGCCACAGUUCAAACUAUUUUGUGGAAAAUGUUGGCUAUAACAAACAAUUGUCCAGUAAGCAAGAUGUUGAAGUUAUUGAUAUGAACAUGAGUAAUCAUAAGGAAAAUGGGAAGCUAGAAGAAAGUCGCUCAAGUUUAUGGCUACACGAUGAAUUAGAUGAACAUGAACCUACAAGAUAUUUAUGGUUUCGUGAUGAAUAUAGUGAAUCAACUGAAUGUAAAGAAGCUUGGUUUGACGCUGAAGAAGAACUUCCAGAUGAACGCUUUCAUGAGGCUGCUGAUGAUCGACAUGAUGAGAACCAAGGUAAUGAAAACAGCGCUGAAGAUUUUUACAAUCAAUCGCUUUGUAAAUGUACAUCAAUUACACGAGGUGAAGCAUUAUUAAUGACGCUACUGUUGGGAAUUCGGCGGUAACUAUCGUGGACAACUAUAACAGCAAUUUUGUCACUAAUUGAUACUUUGUUCGGUGAUAAAGUGGUUCCGGACUCAAAGUAUCAAGUUUUUAAAAUAAUGCAGCUCAAUGAUCAAAUCAUUACUUACCAUAUGUUUUGUAAUAAUUGUUUGUUUUAUUUUGGUGCUCAUAAGAAUUCAAAUUCAAAAGAAUUGAAGUGUGCAAAUUGUGGAAAUAAUGAUACUGCAUCAAAAAUUUCUUUUUUUUUAACUUUAGACAUGGAAACACAAUUUAAAACAAUAUUGCAAGAUUGUGAAGUACAAGAAGCUUUAAUCGAAAGUUUUGAAAGAAUUAAGAAAAAGUUGGACCAGAAUACAAUAGAAGAUCUUACCGAUGGACAAAUAUAUAAAAAAUUAUCAACUGGGAAUAAUCCCUGAUCUAAUAAUUUUAAUUUAACAUAAACAUUUAAUACAGAUGGUUGUCAAGCAUUAAAAUUGAGUAAAAUUGCAACCUGGUACAUCUAUGCAAUUAUAAAUGAAUUGCCUCAUAAGCUACAGACUAAGCAUAUGAUUAUGUGUGGUAUAUGGAUUAAUGAGAAAGAACCGAAUAUGCAAUUAUUUUUGAAAACAUUUGUUGAUCAGGGGAAUAAAUUAUCGGAGCAAGGCAUUCAAUAGAAAUGAGGAGAUAUAAUGGUAGUCAGCAAAUUCAUCCCAAUAUGUGCUGUUUUUGAUUCAGUAGCGAGAUGCAAGCUAUUAAUUAUGAAAAAGUUUAAUGGUUUAUAUGGAUGUACAUUUCGUGAGCAUCCAACAGAAUGUGUUGAUGGAUAUAGAAAAUUUACAGUAUCCACAACGAUUCCUCCAGAUCAUACUGAUGCGUCUAUCAAAAGCAAUAUGGUACUCACGAGUCAGAGUGAUUAUGAGAAAGAUGUUAUGGGCGUCUGGGGACCAUCAUCGCUAAUGAAUUUGAAAUAUAUUGAUUUAGCUGAUGGGAUGUCCCCAAAUUAUAUGCAUGCUUUUUUAUUGGUUGCAGUGAAACAGUACACAGAUAUAUUGUUAACAUCUUUCGGUAAAGAAUAUUACGUCGGUAGUCCAAAUCAGCUACAGAUUAUUAAUGAGAGAAUGACGAGCUUCAAACAUCCAACCUGCAUAACCCGGUCUCCAAGAAUCGUAACGGAAAGAGAAAUUUGGAAAGCAUCUGAAUGGCGAUCAUGGUUACUCUUUUAUUCAUUGAUUUGCCUUAAUGGAAUCCUCCCAAAGAAAUAUUUGGAUCAUUUGGCGUUGCUAGUGAAAGCAUUGAAUAUUAUGCUAUCAGAAAAGAUUGAAAAAAAAGAAUUGUUUGUGGCUGGUUUUUUUUUAAUCAAAUAUGUGGUUCUAUAUCAGGAAUAUUUUGGUAAAAAUGCGAUGACGUACAAUAUACACCUUCUUUUGCAUAUGGAAAAGAGUAUAUUAAAUCUUGGACCAUUAUGGUGUCAUAAUGCUUUCUGUUUCGAAAAUGAGAACCACUUCGUAUUAAAAAUGGAAAAAAGCCCACCUCAUCUUCAUAUUCAGGUAGCUAGAAAAUAUAUUCGAAAAAUCUUUGCCAUCAUUAGGUAAUAAAGUAAAGAAAAGCAAUUAAUUUAAAAUUUUUUGCGAAUAAAACAUAACGGGAAGACUAAAAAAAACUUUUGAAGUAAAUGGUUGUAUAUUAAUUGGUAGAGGCAAAGAUUAUCAAUUAAAUAUAAAAGAGCAGGAACUUUUAAAUCUGACCGAAAAAUGUCGAUCAUUCAACAGAUUUAUUUAUAAUGGUAAACGAUAUACUUCAGAAAAUUACCGCUUGUGUCAAAAAAUAAAUGAUUUUGUCAUAGAGCUAAAGAAUGGUAAUAUUGGAAAAAUAAAAAAUAUUUGCUACUUCAGCACGGAUAAUGCUGAAAAAAAAAUUUAUAUUUUCUAUGACAAAAUACAAACACAUAAGAAAUUUUUUCAUCAAACAAAAAAUGUAACAGUUUGCAAUAUUGAAAAAUGUACUGUCACUGAAAAUCUAUGCUUAUGUAAGCCUGAAAUGAUAAAGCAGCCAUGCAUAUUAUGUGAAGUGCAAGGGCAACAUUAUAUUAUUAAAAUACCAAAAGGAUGUUUUGGUGAUUAGGAAUAUUUAUCUACAUUGAUGAAUCAUUUGUAAAUAGUUGAGCAAAUUUAAAAGUAGUAUAGCCAUAUUGCAGGAAAGUUCUUAAUACGUAAUUGAAAAAAAACUAGUUAAUGUAAAAAUACCGAUGUACAUAUUUAGAACGCAGAUCUUUAUUGAGAGUUUAAUUCACGAAGAUAACAAAAAAUACCUUUGGUAAAUUUUUAAAAAUUAAGUCAAAAAACACUUUUUUUAUAACGUUAAAAAGAAUAAUUAUUAUUGAUUAUGUCAUUCGUCAUGAUAAUUAAAGGAAAUCGAACGCUCUACAAAAAAGGUCUCUUAUUAUUUUUUGAUAAAUCCAUCUGUUCAAAAAUUGAUCAAAUGUGCGCUUACUAAGGUCUGAAAUUACAAUGCUGAUAUCACGGAAAAUAUAUACGUAUGAAAACGAUGUAAAAUAGUUCAUAAGUAUACGUAAACUCUGUAAUAGUAAGAAAACAUUUUAUUAUAUUUCAAAAUACCAUAGAGAAUAGUUAUCCUUUUUUUAUUAAUUA